AAAUGCGAUAAGUAAUGUGAAUUGCAGAAUUCAGUGAAUCAUCGAAUCUUUUAACGCACCUUGCGCUCCUUGGUAUUCCUUGGAGCAUGCCUGUUUGAGUAUCAUGAAAUCUUCAAAGUAAAUCUUUUGUUAACUCAAUUGGUUUCUACUUUGGUAUUGGAGGUCUUUGCAGCUUCACACCUGCUCCUCUUUGUUCAUUAGCUGGAUCUCAGUGUUAUGCUUGGUUCCACUCGGCGUGAUAAGUUAUCUAUCGCUGAGGACACUGUAAAAGGUGGCCAAGGUAAAUGCAGAUGAACCGCUUCUAAUAGUCCAUUGACUUGGACAAUACUUUUAUGAUCUGAUCUCAAAUCAGGUAGGACUACCCGCUGAACUUAAGC
rnacentral:misc_RNA from 1 species